ACAGCAGCAGCCGCGGUAACACGUAGGGUGCGAGCGUUAAUCGGAAUUACUGGGCGUAAAGCGUGCGCAGGCGGUUGUGUAAGACAGGUGUGAAAUCCCCGGGCUUAACCUGGGAACUGCGCUUGUGACUGCACAGCUAGAGUAUGGCAGAGGGGGGUGGAAUUCCACGUGUAGCAGUGAAAUGCGUAGAGAUGUGGAGGAACACCGAUGGCGAAGGCAGCCCCCUGGGCCAAUACUGACGCUCAUGCACGAAAGCGUGGGGAGCAAACAGGAUUAGAUACCCCCGUAGUCCCUGUCUCUUAUAC
rnacentral:rRNA from 1 species